CUCAAAGCCUAUGUCGAGAGUCAUGGCUAUAUCCCCCAGGCGAUCCUCGGUUCCUAUGAGGUUUGUCCCAAGUUAAUGAACCCUCCAGGGACACUUGGACUGGGGGUUCUAACUAUUACAGCCAGGAUUGCAAAGUCUGGAGAGGGUAAAACAAGGGAACAUGGGUUCGUGCCCUGGUCCAGGAAGAUCCCACAUGCCGCGGAGCAAUUGAGCCCCUGCGCCACAGCUACUGAGCCCACGCGCCACAACUACUGAGCCCGUGUGUCACAACUACUGAAGCCCAUGCCCACAACUACUGAAGCCUGCGCGCCUAGAGCCCGUGCUCUGCAACAGAGAAGCCACCACAAUGAGAAGCCCGAGUGCUCCAAUGACGAGUAGACCCUGCUCGCCACAACUAGAGAAAGCCCCGGUGCAGCAACGAAGACCCAA